GUAUCCUGGCUCAGGACGAACGCUGGCGGCGUGCUUAACACAUGCAAGUCGAACGAGAAUCUGUGGAUCGAGGAUUUCGUCCAAGUGAAGCAGAGGACAGUGGCGGACGGGUGAGUAACGCGUGAGGAACCUGCCGUUUCAGAGGGGGACAACAGUUGGAACGACUGCUAAUACCGCAUGAUACAUUUGGGUGGCAUCGAAUCUGAAUGUCAAAGAUUUAUCG
rnacentral:rRNA from 1 species